CACAGUGGAAUAAGGACAGGCUUUGCUAUAGGAGAGACUGGGUUGGAAUGUUGUCUUUGCUGCUUUGAUGCCGUGUGACCUUGUACAGUGAACCUGAGAUCCAGCAAGUCUGAAAUGGCCGCUUGGAUCGCCCAGCUGGAAGGCAGCUGGGAGAGGAGCUGAAUCAAUGCAGCCCGAUGCUCAUACCUGAGCCUGUUCUCCUGCACCUGCUGUGUCAGGGGUGGUGAUGCCAGCCCCUUAUGACUGGGCCGUGGAUGUGAGGGCCUCCGCCCCAGACACACUCGGGCAGCCCUUCUUCGCUUGGGUCCUUUUCCAAACACAGUCUUCGAGGUCUGACACCAGGAGAGAAGAACUCGCAGCUUGUUUUGUGGCUCGCUGCACGGAGAGAGGCCGUUCGGGCCACUGCCAGCCCGGACCCCGCGCUCUGAGGCCACAAUCGCCGCCACCUCAGCUCCGGAAACGGCAACACAGAUGAGAAAGAACCCGCAGAAUCCAGAAGACGACGAGAAUCCCAAGCUGCCGAAAAUUUCCUCCCGUGAUGAGACGCAUUCAGAACAAAAACGUGCAGCCUGAUUUGUCUUUCCCUGAAAUCAAAGGCACUGUUGUAAAGAGACUGCGUUUGCCACACAAAGGUAGCAGAUGUUUGUCGAGAUUUAGCCACACAAGCAUUCGCUCGUUCAGUCUUGGGAGUGUUUCGGUUUUUGAAAAGAGGAACAGUUUUGUGUCAUUCCGCGAUGCUCGGAAGCUUCUGGAACUGGCGCUCAGGUGGGGUGUGGACCAGGGUGGGUUUGCUCCGGAAGGCUCUGCAGGGUGGAAUGGGGCAGGACGAGUCAUACCAUCAAGCGCUCACUGAGCGCCCAGUGUCUACCCAGCUGCAGGUGCAAGGACCUGAGGGCGCCAUGACCUUAAUUCUUGCCUGCAAAGAGUUUCCAAGACUUCCUAGACUCACGGGUGUAGAAAGCCAGUUCUAGAGCUGCCCUUGCUUUUAACUUCCCCCAACAGAUUUCCCUUCCCUCCUUCCAUCCUCUCGCAGAUUUCUCUCCAUCCCUCAUUCCUGGGAGGUAACCAGUCACAGAGACCUGCAUGUUGUGUCCCCCCAAAUGGAAUUCAAAAGCCAUCCUUGUUCCCAUUUGCAAUGCAGAUUCAGUCCCUUCUCCUCACUCCCAUCCACAGGAAACACCCUGGGCACACCUCCCACGCUGUGUCCCAACGAUCUGUUCACUGGUCACACCCGGAACUGCUGGAGAUUAGGUUCACCUUGACUUUCUCAGUAGCCAGCACAGGGCCUGGCAACUUCCUGGGGCUCAUCAGUAGGCACGAGUGGAUGAGGAAGUAAGAGUAAAUAAUGGAAGAGUCCUUUACCUCCUCCCGCCAUGCCCUUCACACCCUUCUGUCUCUGUUCACACAGCUUGCUUUCUUUCUUUCUUUCUUUCUUUAAAAUUUAACAUGCCAACUCCUAUUCAUCCUUCAACACCCAGUGCCCAUGUUACCUCCUUCAGGAAGUCGACCUGACACCUUCAGCCUGUGAGGCUUACUCAUUUCUCCCUCUGUGCUUCUACAGCGCCUUGUGCUUGUGCCCAUCGGAAUAAAUACUUUAAUGAGGAUUGUCUCUGAUUCCUUGUUUGUCCCUGCCAGGGACAGCAAGUAGACUUAGUUUCACAGCUCUGUUCUGCCUGCUGUUGCUGCCUAAAGCAGCGUCGAGUGGAUGCUGAGGGUGCUUUUUCAUCAUUAUAUUCAUAUACAUGUACAUAUAUAAUAUUUAUAUUUUAUACACUGCAUAUAAUUUUUCAGCGUAUGGGAGGGAGCAGGCCCAUUUCCUCAGCAGAAGUAAAUCCAAAGAACAUGACACAGAUGACACAAGGCAAUGAGGCAGACAGGUACACAUGGGCCAGGCUGCUGGCUGGUGCGGCUUCUAGAACAUUCAGCCUGGUUGGUGCAGAGAGACUGAGGACGACUGAUCCCAAGGCCCGCGUGGGGAAGGUGUGUGAAGCUCCCCCUUAGCUUCUGUUCUGUUGCCUGUGCUCGAUGGUUGACAAGAGAGGAAGGACGUUCUCUUGGUUCUUAGCUGACUCCAUGCCAGGCAGACGCUGGGCACUGGACCCUUAACUCUGAUAGUUACGGGAGUGGACGUUAGGGUUAGAAAAAUUGGGUUAGAAACCCUGCUCUGUUACCUCGAGUUGUAUGACUUGGGGCACGUCACUUGCUUAGCUUCUCAAAGCCCCGAUUUCCUUGAAAGGAAAAGGAGCUUCAUGCUAAAAGUCAGCCUUUGUAGACUCCCUGAUAGGUGCCAGGUGGUGCGCUUUGAAGUAUCUAAUCUUCACUGCUAUGACGAGGUAGGUGGCAUUGCUGCCCCCCGUGUUACAGGUGAGAAACCGAGGCUCAGAAUGCUUGGGUAACAUGUCCAAGGUCACUUGGCUGGAAAGGGUCCAGGUCUGGGUAGAAACCCAGACAGCCUGACUUCACAUCCAAUACUCUUAGCCAUGACCCUCAUUUAAAAAAAA